UACGAGGGGGGCAAGCGUUGUUCGGAAUUAUUGGGCGUAAAGGGCGCGUAGGCGGUGCGGUAAGUCACCUGUGAAAACUCUGGGCUCAACUCAGAGCCUGCAGGCGAAACUGCCGUGCUUGAGUGUGGGAGAGGUGCGUGGAAUUCCCGGUGUAGCGGUGAAAUGCGUAGAUAUUAGGAAGAACACCAGUGGCGAAGGCGGCUCACUGGUCCGGUACUGACGCUGAGGUGCGAAAGCGUGGGGAGCAAACAGG
rnacentral:rRNA from 1 species